UACGUAGGGGGCAAGCGUUGUCCGGAAUCAUUGGGCGUAAAGAGCGUGUAGGCGGUUCGGUAAGUCGGCUGUGAAAGUCCAGGGCUCAACCCUGGGAUGCCGGUCGAUACUGCCGGACUAGAGUUCGGAAGAGGCGAGUGGAAUUCCCGGUGUAGCGGUGAAAUGCGCAGAUAUCGGGAGGAACACCUAUGGCGAAGGCAGCUCGCUGGGACGGUACUGACGCUGAAACGCGAAAGCGUGGGGAGCGAACAGG
rnacentral:rRNA from 1 species